UUUGGUUGGGUUGUUCACAACUCAAAUUCCAGUUUUGUUAUUGGUAAUUAUCAUGUUUAGGUAUGUAAACUUAUUAUUUAUAUUUGUUAAGUGUCUCAUUCUAUUCUGAAUUCUCUUUAUUUUGUACUUAUCUAAUGUCUUUUUCUUUCUUCUAAUUUCAUUUAUCUUUCCAAGUUUAUUAGUUUGCUUUAAUAUUUUAGAGGGUAUUAAUAAAAAUAUUAGGUUUAAAAAUAAAU
rnacentral:lncRNA from 1 species